GAGGCGGUCUACCAGAACACGUCCGACGGUGAGGGAUGAAAGCUGGGGGAGCAAACCGGAUUAGAUACCCGGGUAGUCCCAGCUGUAAACUAUGCAAACUCAGUGAUGCAUUGGCUUGUGGCCAAUGCAGUGCUGCAGGGAAGCCGUUAAGUUUGCCGCCUGGGAAGUACGUACGCAAGUAUGAAACUUAAAGGAAUUGGCGGGGGAGCACCACAAGGGGAGAAGCCUGCGGUUCAAUUGGAGUCAACGCCAGAAAUCUUACCCGGAGAGACAGCAGAAUGAAGGUCAAGCUGAAGACUUUACCAGACAAGCUGAGAGGCGGUGCAUGGCCGUCGCCAGCUCGUGCCGUGAGAUGUCCUGUUAAGUCAGGUAACGAGCGAGAUCCCUGCCUCUAGUUGCCACCAUUACUCUCAGGAGUAGUGGGGCGAAUUAGCGGGACCGCCGCGGUUAAUGCGGAGGAAGGAAGGGGCCACGGCAGGUCAGUAUGCCCCGAAACUCUGGGGCCACACGCGGGCUGCAGUGGUAACGACAAUUGGUUUCGAAUCCGAAAGGAUGAGGUAAUCCUCAAACGUUACCACAGUUAUGACUGAGGGCUGCAACUCGCCCUCACGAAUAUGGAAUCCCUAGUAACUGCGUGUCAUUAUCGCGCGGUGAAUACGUCCCUGCUCCUUGCACACACCGCCCGUCGUUUCAUUGAAGUGAGCUUUUAGCGAGGUGACGUCUAAUUGGCGUUAUCGAACUUGAGGUUCGUGACAAGGGAAAAGUCGUAACAAGGUAGCCA
rnacentral:rRNA from 1 species